AUUGAACGCUGGCGGCAUGCCUUACACAUGCAAGUCGAACGGCAGCACGGGUGCUUGCACCUGGUGGCGAGUGGCGAACGGGUGAGUAAUACAUCGGAACAUGUCCUGUAGUGGGGGAUAGCCCGGCGAAAGCCGGAUUAAUACCGCAUACGAUCUACGGAUGAAAGCGGGGGACCUUCGGGCCUCGCGCUAUAGGGUUGGCCGAUGGCUGAUUAGCUAGUUGGUGGGGUAAAGGCCUACCAAGGCGACGAUCAGUAGCUGGUCUGAGAGGACGACCAGCCACACUGGGACUGAGACACGGCCCAGACUCCUACGGGAGGCAGCAGUGGGGAAUUUUGGACAAUGGGCGAAAGCCUGAUCCAGCAAUUCCGCGUGUGUGAAGAAGGCCUUCGGGUUGUAAAGCACUUUUGUCCGGAAAGAAAUCCUUGGCCCUAAUACGGUCGGGGGAUGACGGUACCGGAAGAAUAAGCACCGGCUAACUACGUG
rnacentral:rRNA from 1 species